GGCACGCAUCUCUACUCCCAGGCAGAGGCAGAUGGAUGGCUGUCAGCUUGAGUUCAGCCUGCUUUCCAGGACAGCCAGGGCUAUAUAGGGAGACCCUGUCUCAAAAAUAAAUCAAAAAAUAAAAAAUUAACUUAAAAAUAAAUUUAAAAAUCCCUUGAUAUGUUGCUGGUAUAGUCUCUGAAGCUUGCCUCUGAAAACGUUGAGCUUUGAGACCAGGAGUUCGAGACUGAACAGGCUCUUUCUAUUAUAUCAUUAGCUCAUGAGAUGCCUUUUGAAUACAAAUAUCUUACAUAUCAAAAAUGGAUCUCAUGUUAAAUGGAUUUGGAAGUACUAUACCCCUUCUUUCUACUUCUGCACUUAAACAUAGCUUAAUGUGCUCUGCUUUGUUCUGUUAUAUCUUCCUGCUAAAGUAAGAAUUGAGCAGAGCUAAUGUCAUCUUUAAUAUUAGGAAAUAAGUGGACUAAGACAUUAUAGAAUUAAAUAAUUUUCAAAUGUUAAAUAAUUGUAUUGACUGAUAAAUUUAUAGCCUCUGAAAAAUGAGAAAAAAAUUGUGAACAGGACAGAUGAAGUAUAAAUUUAAAACUACAUGGUUAAUUUUGCUCUGAAAUCCUAUAGGUGGUUUUCACCUGUUAUACUAAAUCAUACACUAUAAUUUGUUUAGUUAGAAAUAGUAAACUGUUUGCAAGUCACUAGUAAUUCUCAAAAAAAUAUUGUUGGCCAUAGUGAAUAAUUUUUAAAUUAGAACUAAGUGUGUACCUAUUUUUGGCACUUAUUUUUCAAAUAAUUAAGCUCAAUCAAGUAUAUUUUAAGGAUCUAUAAAAGUGACAGGAAGACCGGGUGUGGUGGCGCACACCUUUAAUCCCAGCACUUGGGAGGCAGAGGCAGGCGGAUUUCUGAGUUCGAGGCCAGCCUGGUCUACAAAGUGAGUUCCAAGACAGCCAGGGCUACACAGAGAAACCUUGUCUCGAAAAACC
rnacentral:lncRNA from 1 species